UGGGGGAUAUUGCACAAUGGGCGAAAGCCUGAUGCAGCGACGCCGCGUGGGGGAUGAAGGCUUUCGGGUUGUAAACCUCUUUCGCUAUCGAACACGGCCCGCUUAGGGUGGGUUGAGGGUAGGUGGAGAAGAAGCGCCGGCUAACUACGUGCCAGCAGCCGCGGUAAUACGUAGGGCGCGAGCGUUGUCCGGAAUUAUUGGGCGUAAAGGGCUUGUAGGCGGCUUGUUGCGCCUGCUGUGAAAACGCGGGGCUUAACUUCGCGCGUGCAGUGGGUACGGGCAGGCUUGAGUGUGGUAGGGGUGACUGGAAUUCCAGGUGUAGCGGUGGAAUGCGCAGAUAUCUGGAGGAACACCGAUGGCGAAGGCAGGUCACUGGGCCAUUACUGACGCUGAGGAGCGAAAGCAUGGGUAGCGAACAGG
rnacentral:rRNA from 1 species